rnacentral:rRNA from 1 species
CCUACGGGCGGCAGCAGUGAGGAAUAUUGGUCAAUGGGCGUAAGCCUGAACCAGCCAAGUCGCGUGAGGGAUGAAGGUUCUAUGGAUCGUAAACCUCUUUUAUAAGGGAAUAAAGUGCGGGACGUGUCCCGUUUUGUAUGUACCUUAUGAAUACGGAUCGGCUACCUCCGUGCCCGCAGCCGCGGUAAUACGGAGGCUCCGAGCGUUAUCCGGAUUUAUUGGGUUUAAAGGGUGCGUAGGCGGCCUCUUAAGUCAGCGGGGAAAGUCUGUGGCUCAACCAUAAAAUUGCCGUUGAAACUGGGAGGCUGGAGUAUGAUGGGGGCAGGCGGAAGGCGUGGGGGAGCGGUGAAAUGCGUAGAUAUCACGCAGAACCCCGAUUGCGAAGGCAGCCUGCCAAGCCAUGACUGACGCUGAUGCACGAAAGCGUGGGGAUCAAACAGGAUUAGAUACCCUUGUAGUC